rnacentral:piRNA from 1 species
UAGGAAAGAUAGAGACACUCUGUUACACA